CCUUAGAGUUUGAUCCUGGCUCAGGAUGAACGCUAGCUACAGGCUUAACACAUGCAAGUCGAGGGGCAGCGGGAUUGAAGCUUGCUUCAAUUGCCGGCGACCGGCGCACGGGUGAGUAACGCGUAUCCAACCUUCCGUACACUCAGGGAUAGCCUUUCGAAAGAAAGAUUAAUACCUGAUGGUAUGAUGAGAUUGCAUGAUAGCAUCAUUAAAGAUUUAUCGGUGUACGAUGGGGAUGCGUUCCAUUAGGUAGUAGGCGGGGUAACGGCCCACCUAGCCAACGAUGGAUAGGGGUUCUGAGAGGAAGGUCCCCCACAUUGGAACUGAGACACGGUCCAAACUCCUACGGGAGGCAGCAGUGAGGAAUAUUGGUCAAUGGACGAGAGUCUGAACCAGCCAAGUAGCGUGAAGGAUGAAGGUUCUAUGGAUUGUAAACUUCUUUUAUACGGGAAUAAACGGAUCCACGUGUGGAUUUUUGCAUGUACCGUAUGAAUAAGGAUCGGCUAACUCCGUGCCAGCAGCCGCGGUAAUACGGAGGAUCCGAGCGUUAUCCGGAUUUAUUGGGUUUAAAGGGAGCGUAGAUGGGUUGUUAAGUCAGUUGUGAAAGUUUGCGGCUCAACCGUAAAACUGCAAUUGAUACUGGCAGUCUUGAGUACAGUUGAGGUAGGCGGAAUUCGUGGUGUAGCGGUGAAAUGCUUAGAUAUCACGAAGAACUCCGAUUGCGAAGGCAGCUUACUAACCUGUAACUGACAUUGAUGCUCGAAAGUGUGGGUAUCAAACAGGAUUAGAUACCCUGGUAGUCCACACGGUAAACGAUGAAUACUCGCUGUAGGCGAUAUACAGUCUGCGGCCAAGCGAAAGCAUUAAGUAUUCCACCUGGGGAGUACGCCGGCAACGGUGAAACUCAAAGGAAUUGACG
rnacentral:rRNA from 1 species